GACGAACGCUGGCGGCGUGCUUAACACAUGCAAGUCGAACGAAGUGGCGAACGGGUGAGUAACGCGUAAUCAACCUGCCCUUCAGAGGGGGACAACAGUUGGAAACGACUGCUAAUACCGCAUACUGAAGGAGGGGAUUGCGUCGGAUUGGCUAGUUUGAGGGGUAACGGCCCACCAAGGCGAUGAUCAGUAGCCGGGUUUGUGGGGUGAACGGCCAAAAUGGGACUGGAACACGGCCCAGGUUCCUACGGGAGGCAGCAGUGGGGAAUUUUCCGAAAUGGACGAAAGUCUGACGGCGCAACGCCGCGUGAGUGAUGACGGCCUUCGGGUUGUAAAGCUCUGUUAAGCGGGACGCGGUACCGGAAUAGAAAGCCACGGCUAACUACGUGCCAGCAGCCGCGGUAAUAC
rnacentral:rRNA from 1 species